rnacentral:rRNA from 1 species
CCCUGCCCUUUGUACACACCGCCCGUCGCUACUACCGAUUGAAUGGCUCAGUGAGGCUUUCGGACUGGCCUAAGGAGAGUGGCAACACUCACCUAGGGCCGGAAAGUUAUCCAAACUCGGUCAUUUAGAGG